rnacentral:rRNA from 1 species
AGUGAACGCUGGCGGUAGGCCUAACACAUGCAAGUCGAACGGCAGCACAGUAAGAGCUUGCUCUUACGGGUGGCGAGUGGCGGACGGGUGAGGAAUACAUCGGAAUCUACUUUUUCGUGGGGGAUAACGUAGGGACACUUACGCUAAUACCGCAUACGACCUACGGGUGAAAGCAGGGGAUCUUCGGACCUUGCGCGAUUGAAUGAGCCGAUGUCGGAUUAGCUAGUUGGCGGGGUAAAGGCCCACCAAGGCGACGAUCCGUAGCUGGUCUGAGAGGAUGAUCAGCCACACUGGAACUGAGACACGGUCCAGACUCCUACGGGAGGCAGCAGUGGGGAAUAUUGGACAAUGGGCGCAAGCCUGAUCCAGCCAUACCGCGUGGGUGAAGAAGGCCUUCGGGUUGUAAAGCCCUUUUGUUGGGAAAGAAAAGCAGCAGGUUAAUACCCCGAUGUUCUGACGGUACCCAAAGAGUAAGCACCGGCUAACUUCGUG